rnacentral:lncRNA from 1 species
AAGAGAGGAGAAGAAAGAGAAACCAGGGGGGCGAGGCGCCGUCCAAUGACAAAGCCCAGGGGAGAGCUGCCCUGCCAAGCCCGCGGCGCCCGGGCCCUGCUUCGGGGGCCGCACCCUGGAGGAGAUCUGGAGGGCGGCCACCCCGACGCUGACCACCUUUCCCACCAUUCGCGUCGGCGGCGACGUGUGGGGCGAGCGCAGCCUGGCGGCGGCGCGGCGCCGGGCAAGCCAAGUCCUGCGAGUGAACCUGGAACCCGUGGUGAGGCUCCGCCGCUUCCCCGUGCCCCGGGCGUGAAACGCGGCCCGCGACGGCUUCCCGGCCAGGGACGGGGCUUCCGCCUGGAGGGAUGGACAAGUGUCAGUCGAGUGUUUACAGAUCCGGCCAGGACCCCGUCCCCUCGUGCACUUUACGGGCAAAGAAGUCACCGGAUGCUUUUCCCGGCCUCGCGGCGCCGCCGUCUGGGGCUCAGGGACAGGUGUGCCCUCCGCUGCCUCCUGGCGCCCGGGCUGCGGAGGAGGAGACAGCCGGACCCGCAGGGGAGGGCCCUAUGCUUCCUUACCCCGGACUGAGACAUCUCCAGGACUGGAGGGGCAGAUCCGUUUUCUCCCUUUGGACUCUACCUCACUGGUCUGGAAGUUCUCUGAAGAAGUCGUUAUUUUUCCAAAGGAAUUUGGUUUCGUGUUUGUGUAAUAAAGCCAGAAUCUACUUGCUUUCCCCCCAAAUCCUCCCCCCACCCCAUUUUUCUUUGCAACUGCCACCCCUCUUUCUGGACGAAAGAUUGAACCUGUUUUGUACUCAGGGUAUUCUGAAUCCCAUUCGUUUCCUAAUUUUAACCGGAUUCCAAAGCUCUGACCAAGGAUAUUUUUCUAAGAGAUUCAAGCUUAUGACUGUAAUAGUGCAAGGAUUUGUAUGCUUUGAAUUCCAUGGGCUCAGUGAUUACAAACAAAGAGAUGCAAAGUACAACUGUUUGAACAUUUUUGAGGUGUUCCUAAAGAUUUUAUAUUGAAAUUUAAUGUUUAUAUUUACUGAGCUCCUAAAUAAAAUGGUAUAAACUCAUAUGAAGUUCUGUUUAGGAAAAGCUGACUUGUUAAGAUUCUUUUUAAUUAAAUAAAAAUUAAAGUGCAUUGAAACCACAUGGCUUGUGAUAAAGAAAAAUUAGUUAUAAAGAACUGGUGUUGGUUAAAGAGAUGGAUGGAAUCCUAUUGGAAAUGAUUUGGCUUCAUUGUACUGGUCUAACAUACAAAUCCAGGAAUAGUUGAAGGAUAACCUAUUUUAAAUUGCAAAUAGCAGAGAAGAAAUAAAUGUGUUCAAACUUUGUGAUUAAAAUGAUAAACAGAAUACCCAUUAGAAUUCUCAGAACUAUUAGUCAUCUAGAGGGGUGGGGGCAUUUCUUGGUAUCAAAUAACUGGUUGAAGUUACUUUGGGCAAAAUAGAUCUCUUUCUUUACUUUCUGUUGUUGGAUAGCAAGAAAUGCCCAGAAUAAUAUCCAUUAUUCUUAUAAACAUUAUGACAAUUAGUUGACUUUUGCUCCAUGAGUUAACUUUUUAAAAAAUCUUAAUUCCAUUUGUAAUUAUGUUUGUAGUUACCGGUCUUUGUUGACAGCUGAAGACCACAGGAAUCGUUGAUCAGGCGAGUCACACAGUACUGACCCUUCUUUUACACUUUUAUAAUAGCAUUUAUACCAUAUGGCCCAGUGUGGAAUUCUUGAUUAUCCAAGUGCCUUUGGUCAUUGGUGGCAGCAAGACUUAAUGGUUUUUAGCCAGUGGUGCCACAGCCAGAUUUUACUGCAAUAUCUAAAGGGUCAAGUAGUGUUUUGUACCACUAUUUUUCAAAUUUAAGUAUUCUGCCAUGGAAUGAUUCAUACUGGCUAGAACUUGACAUACGAUAUCCUUAAUAUUAAGGCUUAUCUCUGCUUGGCAGCUUCUUAGGAGAAUUAUUUUAAUAAGAGUUGCAAUUUUGACUCUUGCGAUCUUAGAAUUCAAAUGCUAUUGCUUUCUGAAUUGAAAAUUUCAACUUUAAUAGUCCAUAAGUAGGAGUUUUGUGACUUUAAUUUCAGUGUACUUGUUUUGUAAAGAAAAAAAAUUAUAUAUAUAAUAUGACUUUAUGCCAGUUUCCCAGUAUGCCUCGUAUUCUUUUAUUCACUACUCAAUGAAAAUGCAUUGUUACCGACACUGUCACACGAAUAAAUAAAAGUGGAUAAUUACUUAGAUGAUGAAGAGUGUUAAAUUAUAUCUUUGUGAAAGGAAGCUUAUAUAUAUUCUUUUGGUUAUUAGCUUCCAUUGCCAAUCGUAUUUCAGAUACAGUAGAGUUUUCUCCUCCCUCCCCCUGCUACUGAAUUGUUACCAUUUUUUUAGCAAACUAGCCCCUGAGGAAAAAAAUAUGUAUUUGUACCACUCACUAUUGUAUAUAGUUUUAUAAUAAAUUCAAUGGCCAUAUUAGAAUGUGAUUUCAACAUAUAGCUUAUCUAAAUAAUUUCACAGAGGAUUUUGAAAUUAGACCUAGCUGGGAGGAUAACUUUGCUCAGCACAAAACUGAAACAACUAUUGACACCAUGCAUUUUAACUGAGAUUCUUAACAUUUUUUCCUCAUGCCUUGUUACUUUAGUGCUCUUGAACUAGCAUAAAUGCUUCUUUGGAUUGUCUGGGCUAUCUGAUUUCAGUUUGGGUUGGAUUGCCCAUCUUGAAUUCAAUAUAUUAUUUAUCUGGUUUAUUUAAAAAUCAUGCCAUUUCUAGUUUGUGAAAUGAGAUGUAAAAAAAACUUUUAUUUUUGCCAAGUGUUCUUUAGCCAAACGUAUGUUACAUCUUCUAAAAUGUGAAGAAACAACUAAUAUAGAUGGUUGGUGUGUUAAUAGGAAAGUGAAAGUAUUCAUGGGUACAUUGGGCAGAAUGUGGAAAGGAACUUGGCAAGGUGGCCUUUCUGGUGAGGCAUCCAUUUCCUGUCCUCUAAAGUAAGUCUGUAGCUUAGCUUGUAUAUAGUUUUUUAAAAGACAUCCCAUGAUCUUUAUUCACUCUCUUAUAAGAUUAUCUUCUAUCUCGUAUGGCACAAAUAGGGAAGCUAGGAGGAAGUUUAUCACCUCACUAUGCUUUUAUUUAAUUUUUAACUCUUGAGUGCCUAAAUAUGGUGACUGGCACCUCAGCUAACUUUUUGAGAUUCCUGAUGUCAUUUUUAUCCUCCUUCCUGUCAACCAGCAACUUAUUUUUCCAUGCUGAAAUCAGUAAUGUCAUGAUUGUUGAGGGUAAGCUUUGUUGUUGAUAGUGCAAAGUGUUGCUGUUGUGGUGUGUAUUUAUUUUGUCAAAGUUUGAGUCCCCUGUUGGACACGUGUAACUAAGCUGGUGGCUGACACCUAUUGAUUUGCUACUUGCAAAUGAUACUACUAUUUUUCUGAAAACUCAUUCAGUUAAAAAAACAUCAAAAAUAUUUGAAUACAAAAAAAUGAGGUUUUGAAUUCAAAACUUUGUUGUUUUAAGGGUUGCCACAGCACUCUUUAAAUUGGUGGGUUUUGGUGGACAUAUAUACAUAAUAUUUACUUUAUUGGUGUGUUUGAAAUAUUUUUUGAUAGACUGUUAUGUCUUAAGUGCAUUUGAAGGCAAUUGUUUGUAAUGGAACCGAAUUGUUUCCUUGGACAGUUUGAUGUGCAUAUGAUUAAGAUUUAUAAUCUGGUUGUACUUUGCUUUUUAAUUUAUUAACUGUAAAUAAAUUUUAGAGAA